AUGCUUUGCGGCGAUUUCAACCUCAUCUACCGCGACGAAGACAAGAGCAACGGCAACCUCAAUCGCCGCAUGAUGGGUCGGUUCCGGCGUACUAUCAACGACCUCGCGCUCAAAGAGGUCUACCUAAACGGCCGGCGUUUCACGUGGUCCAACGAGCAGUCACCCCCAACCCUGGUGCACCUCGACCGCGUCCUCUGUACCCCCGACUGGGAGGAACUGCAUGGGGAGUGCCACCUCUGA
rnacentral:rRNA from 1 species